rnacentral:rRNA from 1 species
UGGGGGAUAUUGCACAAUGGAGGAAACUCUGAUGCAGCGACGCCGCGUGGGUGAAGAAGUAUUUCGGUAUGUAAAGCCCUAUCAGCAGGGACGAUAAUGACGGUACCUGACUAAGAAGCCCCGGCUAACUACGUGCCAGCAGCCGCGGUAAUACGUAGGGGGCAAGCGUUAUCCGGAUUUACUGGGUGUAAAGGGAGCGUAGACGGAGAGGUAAGUCAGAUGUGGAAGCCCCGGGCAUAACCCGGGGACUGCAUUUGAGACUGUUUUUCUAGAGUGCUGGAGAGGUAAGCGGAAUUCCUGGUGUAGCGGUGAAAUGCUUAGAUAUCAGGAGGAACACCGGUGGCGAAGGCGGCUUACUGGACAGUAACUGACGUUGAGGCUCGAAGGCGUGGGGAGCAAA